UAUUUAUUUUUGAGACAGAGAGAGACAGAGCAUGAACGGGGGAGGGGCAGAGAGAGAGGGAGACACAGAAUCUGAAACAGGCUCCAGGCUCCGAGCUGUCAGCACAGAGCCCGACGCGGGGCUCAAACUCACGGACUGCGAGAUCAUGACCUGAGCCCAAGUCAGACGCUUAACCGACCGAGCCACCCAGGCGCCCCUACCAAACAUCAUUUUAGAGCAACUGACAUUUUUAGUCUCCGCCAGCGAACCUCUCAAGGACUCCGGACGAAGCCCGGAAUCUCCUCCUCCUCCUUCCCUUCAAGCUCAGGUAGCCACUCCAUCAUCCGCGGGUCCUCAGUGCCCAGUUCACCUCGCUGCUCUAACCUUCAAACGCCGCGCUGGUUUUGGAUAUCGUCCCCCUACGCCGAGCACCAGCCUGGCGCCAGGUUUUUUGUUUCGUGCAUCUUACUUAAUACUGAGGAUCGAGACGGGAUUUGUGCAGCUCCAGGAUCGCUGUUGACUAACUGAAUGAAAGUGGUAGGAAAAGGAUUAGGAGAGUGGAAGAGAAGUAAGGGCUUCAGGCCAUCUCAGUACAUUCACCAAAAGACAACCCGCAUCAAAGAGAUAAGACAAAGCUAAAAGAGUCCAUUCUCUUUUGUGAUUUGUGCAGCAGGACAUCAAUUUUAUGCCCACGGUAAUUGCUAAACUGCAGCAAGAACCCAAUAAACAUGCGGAGAAGGAAAAGGAAAUGCUGACCAUAGAGAGAAAAGCAAUACAGAGGCUCAUCCUACAGAGUCACCGUCGGAGCCUUGCAAGAGCCUGGUAAACCUAAGAGCCAUUUAGAUUUGAAGAUGAGUGUGUCAGAGACUGGAAAAUUACAAAAAUUACAGCAUUUCUCUCAGUAUAAUGAAACCACCAACCAUAAAUUGCCCGUCUACCUCUGAUGCUGCCACUGCCCUGUCGGCCAAUGAACGCUGGACAGCAACAAGAAAAAACCAGAGUGGUGGGGCCCCUGGGUGGCUCAGCUGGUUAAGCGUCUGACUUCGGCUCAGGUCACGAUCUCACAGUUUGUGGGUUCGAGCCCCGCGUCAGGCUCUGUGCUGACAGCGCAGGGCCUGGAGCCUGCGUAGGAUUCUGUGUCUCCCUCUCUCACUGCCCCUCUCCCAUUCAUGCUCUGUCUCUCUCAAUCUAAAAAAUAAAUAAACAUUAAAAAAACAUUUUCUUAAUAAAAAAAAAAGAAAAAAAAAACCCGGAGUGGUGUCCUGCUAGGAGCCCCUCCCACUCCCUUCACAAGUCAACGAAACAAGUCUGAGAACCACUGACCCAACUACCGCAAAGCCUCAGCUCUGUUCAGACGGCGGCCCUCCUGGCAGUUAAAGCUGACUGUUCGUUCCUGUUAGUCAGAAAUUCUAAAAAGCUCCUACUCUUGUUGCCAGGUGCCAAGGAUACAAAAGCAGACCUGGUCCCAACCUCAGGGAGCCCACAGAGCGAUGAACGCUAGGACAUCGGGAAGUUCAGGGUGACAGGGAUGCAUGGGAAGAGGAAGCAUGUA